GCCUGGCUGGCUCAGUUGGUGGAGCACAUGACUCCUGAUCUUGGGGUUGUGAGUUCGAGCCCCACGUUGAGCA
rnacentral:tRNA from 1 species